AGAGCGUAUGGUGGAUGCCUUGGCACUAAGAGCCGAUGAAAGACGUGAUAAGCUGCGAAAAGCUUCGGGGAGGAGCAAAUAUCCUUUGAUCCGGAGAUUUCUGAAUGGGGAAACCUACUUGAGCAAACCUCAAGUAUCCUUAAGCCAAUACAUAACUUAAGGAAGGGAACCCGGUGAACUGAAACAUCUAAGUAGCCGGAGGAAGAGAAAACAACAUGUGAUUCUGUGAGUAGCGGCGAGCGAAAACGGAAGAGCCCAAACCAGCGUGCGUGCAUGCUGGGGUUCGGACCGCGGAAUUGAUUCAACGAGUUUAGCAGAACGGUUUUGGGAAAGCCGGCCAGAGAGGGUGAAAGCCCCGUAAGCGAAAGACGAGUUGACAUGGCGGGAUCCAGAGUACCACGAGACACGUGGAACCUUGUGGGAAGAUGCGGGGACCACCCCGUAAGGCUAAAUACUACUUAGUGACCGAUAGCGCAUAGUACUGUGAAGGAAAGGUGAAAAGGACCCCGGGAGGGGAGUGAAAAAGAACCUGAAACCAUAUGUUUACAAGCUGUGGAAGAGCUUUAUAUGCUCAACCGCGUACUUUUUGUAGAACGGUCCGGCGAGUUACGCUGGCUGGCGAGGUUAAGGACUAAAGGUCCGGAGCCGAAGGGAAACCAAGUCUGAAUAGGGCGCAUAGUCAGUCGGAGUAGACCCGAAACCGGGUGAUCUAUCCAUGUCCAGGUUGAAGUUGCCGUAAAAGGCAAUGGAGGACCGAACCCACAUCCGUUGAAAAGGGUGGGGAUGAGGUGUGGAUAGGGGAGAAAUUCCAAUCGAACCCGGAGAUAGCUGGUUCUCCUCGAAAUAGCUUUAGGGCUAGCCUCAUACGAGUCUUGCGGAGGUAGAGCACUGAAUUCCUAAGGGGGCGUCAAAGCUUACUAAGGGAUAUCAAACUCCGAAUGCCGUGUAGAUGAUGUAUGGGAGUCAGACGAUCCGAGAUAAGUUGGGUGGUCAAAAGGGAAAGAGCCCAGACCAACAGCUAAGGCCCCAAAAUGUGUGUUAAGUGGAAAAGGAUGUGGGAUUUCGAAGACAACUAGGAUGUUGGCUCAGAAGCAGCCAUUCAUUCAAAGAGUGCGUAAUAGCUCACUAGUCGAGAGGUCCUGCGCCGAAAAUGUCCGGGGCUAAAACACACUGCCGAAGCUUUGGAAUUGAAUUAAUUCAAUUGGUAGAGGAGCAUUCUUAAAGGGACGAAGCAGUACCGUAAGGAGCUGUGGACUUUUAAGAAGAGAGAAUGCCGGAAUGAGUAGCGAGAGGAAGGUGGGAAUCCUUCCGGCCGAAUAUCUAAGGUUUCCAGAGUAAAGCUGAUCUGCUCUGGGUAAGUCGGGGCCUAAGGCGAGGUCGAAAGACGUAGUCGAUGGAUAACAGGUUGAAAUUCCUGUACUAUCCUGUAACAGAACUGUGGGGACACAGGCAGAGAGCGUGAGCCGGGAAUGGAAAGACCGGUACAAGCGAGGUAGGAGAAGAGUUGGCAAAUCCGCUCUUUAAUCUGAAGACGUGAUGUGGACUGAAAAUAAGUAGGGAAGCACGUGAGCUGACUGUCAAGAAAAGCCGCUAUUGUUUGCAGGAUACCCGUACCGUAAACCGACACAGGUGGAUGAGGAGAGAAUCCUAAGGCCGACGGGAGAAGCAUUGUUAAGGAACUCGGCAAAAUGACUCCGUAACUUCGGGAGAAGGAGUGCCAGUAAGAUGGCCGCAGAGAAUUGGCCCAAGCAACUGUUUAGCAAAAACACAGGUCUAUGCAAAACCGAAAGGUGAGGUAUAUGGGCUGACGCCUGCCCGGUGCUGGAAGGUUAAGGGGAGAGGUUAGCGCAAGCGAAGCUUUGAACUUAAGCCCCAGUAAACGGCGGCCGUAACUAUAACGGUCCUAAGGUAGCGAAAUUCCUUGUCGGGUAAGUUCCGACCCGCACGAAAGGCGUAAUGAUUUGGGCACUGUCUCAACAAUGCACCCGGUGAAAUUGAAAUACCAGUGAAGAUGCUGGUUACCUGCGCCAGGACGGAAAGACCCCAUGGAGCUUUACUCCAGCUUGAUACUGGGAUUCGAUAUUGUAUGUACAGGAUAGGUGGGAGGCGAAGAAGCAUUGACGCCAGUUGAUGCGGAGCCGCUGUUGGGAUACCACCCUUGCAGUAUUGGAUUUCUAACCAGCAGCCGUGACCCGGCUGGGGGACAAUGUCAGGUGGGGAGUUUGACUGGGGCGGUCGCCUCCGAAAGGGUAUCGGAGGCGCUCAAAGGUUCCCUCAGAAUGGUUGGAAACCAUUCGAAGAGUGCAAAGGCAGAAGGGAGCUUGACUGCGACACCGACGGGUGGAGCAGGUACGAAAGUAGGACUUAGUGAUCCGGUGGUAUAAAGUGGGAUUGCCAUCGCUCAACGGAUAAAAGCUACCCUGGGGAUAACAGGCUUAUCACUCCCAAGAGUUCACAUCGACGGAGUGGUUUGGCACCUCGAUGUCGGCUCAUCGCAUCCUGGGGCUGAAGUAGGUCCCAAGGGUUGGGCUGUUCGCCCAUUAAAGCGGUACGCGAGCUGGGUUCAGAACGUCGUGAGACAGUU
rnacentral:rRNA from 1 species